rnacentral:rRNA from 1 species
UACAGAGGGGGCAAGCGUUGUUCGGAAUUACUGGGCGUAAAGGGCGCGUAGGCGGCGUGCUAAGUCGAACGUGAAAUCCCCGGGCUCAACCCGGGAACUGCGUCCGAGACUGGCAUGCUUGAAUCCGGGAGAGGGAUGUGGAAUUCCAGGUGUAGCGGUGAAAUGCGUAGAUAUCUGGAGGAACAUCGGUGGCGAAGGCGGCAUCCUGGACCGGUAUUGACGCUGAGGCGCGAAAGCUAGGGGAGCGAACGGG